GAUGAACGCUGGCGGCGUGCCUAAUACAUGCAAGUCGAGCGAACGGACGAGACGCUUGCUUCUCUGAUGUUAGCGGCGGACGGGUGAGUAACACGUGGAUAACCUACCUAUAAGACUGGGAUAACUUCGGGAAACCGGAGCUAAUACCGGAUAAUAUUUUGAACCGCAUGGUUCAAAAGUGAAAGACGGUCUUGCUGUCACUUAUAGAUGGAUCCGCGCUGCAUUAGCUAGUUGGUAAGGUAACGGCUUACCAAGGCAACGAUGCAUAGCCGACCUGAGAGGGUGAUAGGCCACACUAGAACUGAAACACGGUCCAGACUCCUACGGGAGGCAGCAGUAGCGAACCGUCCGCAAUGGGCGAAAGCCUGACGGAGCAACGCCGCGUGAGUGAUGAAGGUCUUCGGAUCGUAAAACUCUGUUAUUAGUGAAGAACAGAUGUGUAAGUAACUGUGCACAGCUUGACGGUACCGAAUAAGAAAGCCACGGCUAACUACGUG
rnacentral:rRNA from 1 species